rnacentral:misc_RNA from 1 species
GCCGCAGCCAUGUGCUGACUUGAAUGUUCCAUACUAGUGGUAACUGAACCGAGCUCUUUGCUAACUCAACACCCAAUACAUCAACAUUUUUUGCUCGGUCCCAACGUGGUUUUGGCGGAGAAGAGUUUGUCCAACCACUGAAACCCAGUCCAGAUAUGAUUAUAGAAGCUUCAGAGAUUGACCAAAUAAAAUAAUAUUUCCA